CUUGCCGACCUCCUUACGGAGGGUGAUGACCUCCUCCUCAGAGAGUUCCUUGGUGAUCUUGUUGUCGAAAUUGAGGUCCAAAAGGAUCUGACGAGAGCGUGACCGCCCAAUGCCAUGGAUGUACUGCAGUGAGUAUUCCACCCUCUUGUGGUUUGGGAUCUCAACACCACCAAUACGGAUGCACUCAAUCCGCAGGCUGCCGUGACCGAUCCCUCCCUUCUGCCAGAUCCCCAACAAACAGAAGAAUGAAAAACUAUUAAAGAAUCGCCAAUGUGAGCCUAGGUAUGAAGGGUCAUCAGAAUGAUAAAAACAAAUAACUCAUAUCAUCACAUCAGCACUGACAUUCCAAUUACAAGAUCAACACAUUGCUGUACAAUGAAAUACUAGCAAGUAGCAUUAUUAUUGACAAUGUGAUUGGGGCAGGGGAUUCAUCGUAUACCUAAAUCAACAUAGACAACAAUUCCUAUCAUUGGGGUUCGAAUUCCCAAGCUACAGAAGACAAUCCUUGCAAAAUACCGGACAUGACCAUGCAAUUGCACACAUAAGUGACAUAUGCAGAAUUACGGACUAAUGCCACACCAUACUACCCCUAGCUCAUCUGUCCCUUUUGCUCCAAGUACUAGGUCAAAGUCUCAUAGAAACGCAAGCGCACGGACACGAACAAACACAAGCUCGCACGGCAUGGUAUGCACAAGCAAACGGUCGUGACGGUGAGGGCAGGACGAGCGGUCGCGACGGGGAGGGAAGGACGGGGGUGGCGGGAGAAGACGGGAGCACUAACCUUGGGAGAGGGGAAGGAGACGGAGGAGCAGCGGCCCCGGGUGGAGAGGGGAAGGGAGGAGGGUGCGAUGGGGACGGAGACCAUGGAGAGGGUCGCCAUUUUCGCUCUCCUGGAGCCGCGAGGUGAGGUGCGUGCGUGCUGUGUCACGGAUAGAAACCCCCAGGCCCGGGGGGAAGACGAUAAGGUUGUGCAGGCUACUCCUGACGC
rnacentral:lncRNA from 1 species